rnacentral:rRNA from 1 species
GAGGAAUAUUGCGCAAUGGACGAAAGUCUGACGCAGCAACGCCGCGUGCAGGAUGACGGCCCUCUGGGUUGUAAACUGCUGUAGCAGGGGAAUAAUACCCGCCUCGGGCGGGUUGAAGGUACCCUGAAAGUAAGCUCCGGCUAACUACGUGCCAGCAGCCGCGGUAAUACGUAGGGAGCAAGCGUUGUCCGGAUUUACUGGGUGUAAAGGGUGCGCAGGCGGGUUGGUAAGUCAGGGGUGAAAUCUCACGGCUUAACCGUGAAAUUGCCUUUGAUACUGCUAACCUUGAGUUCGGGAGAGGUCGAUGGAAUUCCAGGUGUAGCGGUGAAAUGCGUAGAUAUCUGGAAGAACACCAGUAGCGAAGGCGGUCGACUGGCCCGUAACUGACGCUCAGGCACGAAAGCGUGGGGAGCGAAC